UACGUAGGGUCCGAGCGUUGUCCGGAAUUACUGGGCGUAAAGAGCUCGUAGGCGGUGUGUCGCGUCGGCCGUGAAAACCUGCAGCUUAACUGUGGGCGUGCGGUCGAUACGGGCAUCACUGGAGUUCGGCAGGGGAGACUGGAAUUCCUGGUGUAGCGGUGAAAUGCGCAGAUAUCAGGAGGAACACCGGUGGCGAAGGCGGGUCUCUGGGAAGUAACUGACGCUGAGAAGCGAAAGCAUGGGUAGCAAACAGG
rnacentral:rRNA from 1 species